UGAGACCAAGAGUUGGUUGCUCAACCGAGUGCUACACCCAGGCACCCCUUAGGAUUGUUUUAAAAUAUGCCAUUGGAAUUUUGAGAGAUUGCACUGAUUCUCUUAAGUUGCUUUUAGUGUGAAUAUUUUAAUAUUCUUCCAAUCUGUAAACAUGGAGUAUCUUUCCAUUUAUUUGUCUUCGGUUUCCUUCGUUAAUCUCUGAGAGUUCUCAGCGUACAGGUCUUUCACAUCUUUAAAUUUAUUUCUGGGUAUUUUGUUCUUUCUGAUGCCAUUGUAAAUGGGAUUGUUUUCUUAAUUUCUCUAGUUUCUUUAGUUUGUUGUGCGUGUACAGAAAUGCAAAAGAUUGCUGUAUACUGAUUUUGUGUCCUGUAACUUUACUGAAUUAGUUCCAACAUUUUUUGGUCUUUAGGGUUUUCUAUAUAUGCCAUGUUAUCUGCAAAUACUGACAGCUUUACUUCAAGAUUUACAGCCUUUUCUUUUUCUUGCCUAAUUGCUCUGGCUAGAACUUCUAAUACUGUGUUAAAUAACUUUUAAAAUCUGACAUAAAAAGCAAAGUGGCCUCAAUAAAGAAGUUUAAAUGUUGAACACUGAGUUCCUGGACCAACUCCCUUCUUUUUAUGGAGCCCCCUGUGGGUAAUGGAGGCAUCAGAAACAGUUCGAAGUUACUGCUGUGGAACAGACCUCAAAACUUAAGAGGUUCAAACAGUAAUCAUUUCUCUCAUGGUUUCUAUGGAUUAGGGAUGUAGGAAAGGUUCUCCUUGGCAAUUCUGACUCAGGGUAUCCGAUGCAUUUGCAGUUAACAGUGGCUAGAGCCAGAGUAGCAGGAGGUUAGAACACUGGGGACUGGCCAGGCAUUUCUGCCUGUCAUUUCAGGGUCUGUGUGGGCUGGUUUGGGCUUCAUCACAGAAUGUGGCUUCAGGGUGUUAGUUUUACGUGGUGACACAAGGACUACCAGCCUACACAGCUUGCAUAUUCCAACAAACCAGCUGUAAGCUGUGUUGCCUUUUAUGAUGGAGCUUUUGGAAGUCUCAUAGCCGUACUUUUGUCAUAUUAACCAGUCACACUUUUUGAUCUAGGGAAUAUCAGACUUUACUGAUCUUUUAAAACUGCCACAUCUACCCUCAAGAAGCCCUUCUGGUGUGGGAGGCCAAGACUAGUCCAGAUAACACCACCAAGAGAAUACCAAAAGACCUAAUUACCAUAGGAGAGAUGGCAGAUUCUCCUUGCCAAUACCUACCCUUCUGAGCGGUAUUACAGGAGUUUACAUGAGUCUCCAACUUGGAAAUAUCAGGUAACUAUAAGCAGAUUUGACUUGGCUUUAUUACUUGCUCGAACCAUUGCCUGAAUGGAGCACAGGGUCUUAGUGGUACCUAUUGUGUAGAUCAGUAUGGUCCAGAACUUUGUGAUGAUGGAAAUGUUCUAUGCUGUGAAGUUGGGAUGCUACCUAACCACAUGUGGCCAUUGAGCGUUUGAGAUCUAGGGCUAGAAAUGUACUUUUAUUUAAAUAACCACAGGUGCUUAGUGUAUUGGCCAGUAAGGCCUAGUUGAAGGAUUUGACAAGUGAAAUAGCAGAGUUGCUAGGGCUGGCAUAGACCCCCAUGUGUGCUGUGGGAAUCCAGAGUAAGGGGACUAGCCACACAGUAACACCACCCUGAUUCAGGUUUACUGACUGAAUCUGAAGGAAUAAUAUAUAGCCAGAGAGACCCCUGUUGAAAAAUACUAUCCAAGACCUUAAAGUAGGGGACAGUGGCAAGAGCCAGCUGGGAGAAAAUGUCUGGGUUGGUGAGGGGAUUUCCCAGCUCUAUUAUCUCAGCUGGGCAACGAGAGGUUAAUUUUUAGCCACAGAACCCUACUAUCAAUUGUUGUAACUAACUUGGAGCUCUCUGAGUUCGAGGCAGGGGUGGACAUUCAGUGGCUGUGCCUCUGUGGUCCUAGAAAUGGUAACAGGAAAGUCUUCAUCCCUUAAAAUCUCUCUCCAAGCUGCAGGUCUUGAAAUCAGUAAUGAAGCUUCAUGUUUGUUUGAAACAAAUUUAUUCUCAGAAUAAUGCACAAAAGUAGAGGUUGAGGUUACCUUUGGGAGGCUUUCCCCCCCCCAACUCCUCCCCCUCCUCUCUGGCUGCCAGCAAGAACAGAGCUGAAGGAAACAUGCAAUCACAAACAA